UUCAGGGAGUUGACGUCUGACCUCUGUAGUCGUAUAAUUUAUAGUGAAAGCUAUAUCAUGUUUAUAUAUUACACUUCUAUGCUAUCCAAGCCUUAACGUAAGUAGUGUAGAGUAAAGUUUAGUUAUAACUGCUCAGUACAGGUAAAAAGUGAUUUCUUUAAGUUAAUUUUUAGGUGGUACACAACACAAGAAAGUUUACAGUUGUGAGUGAGAUGAAAAUGAUAGAUUGUCGUUGAUAAACCAAUCAUCAACGCCAUCGAUCUCGCUAAGAUUUGUUGCAGCAUCAAAGGCUUCAGGUGGUAUAUGUACAACAUGUUAUUGAUGCAACUAACACGCAACUCUUCAAUUAUUCUUGUUAACAAACUCAGUCAGAGUCAGGGUUGGAACUAAAGCUAGAGUCAAAGAUUAUCAGAUUGAUUGUACGCAAGCAGAUCAAUAAUUAUCUCGCAUUUCUUCGGCAUCAUAAAUCUUAACUGACGUACAUUUGACCUCCGGGUUGAUUGCCCGGUUCUGGUGAGUACAGAGCACGCCUUACCCUCAUUCGAGGAGAUGAAAGUCUUUGCUACUACCAUGUGGACCUUAUUAUAUGAUAUGGAGAAAAAUACAUUUCGGACGCUUUUAUUUUUUCUAAGCGAAUCGCUACACUGCCGUAAGCUACUAUCUCUCCGAUGGAUUUUAACGCCGAGAAGAUUAAAUGCAAUCCCACGAUUAUACACGAGAUAUAAGUAUACGUUUUAUUUUGAUU